rnacentral:rRNA from 1 species
UACAGAGGUGGCAAGCGUUGUUCGGAAUUACUGGGCGUAAAGGGCGGGUAGGUGGCCAUCUAAGUCAGACGUGAAAUCCCCCGGCUUAACCUGGGAACUGCGUCUGAUACUGGACGGCUUGAGUAUGGGAGAGGGAUGCGGAAUUCCAGGUGUAGCGGUGAAAUGCGUAGAUAUCUGGAGGAACACCGGUGGCGAAGGCGGCAUCCUGGACCGACACUGACGCUGAGGAGCGAAAGCCAGGGGAGCAAACGGG